UGCCUAUGUCGCUUCUUUGCUACAAAAUGUAAAAUGUGAUUUAUCUUUUGCCGAUCUUCGUCAAAGUGUUUUUGUUUAUACAUUGCAGGAACCCAUAAGCCAAUAGUAUUAGGUUUAGAUGGCUUUCCAGGGAUUGAAGUGGUUGGAGCUGUAGGCCGAACUCAAAUUAUUUGUUUUUUCAGUACCAUUUGUUAAUUCAAUUGCAAACAUUGUGCUAAUAGAUAAAGACAUGUCCCAAUCUUCUUGGUCUGCUCACGUAUGGAGGCGAUCUGAAUUAAAGGAAGAACUCUAUGUUGUCUGCUUGAAUCAAUUGUUCAUCUCUACAUUAACGAAUAGGUAUGGAGUUGCUUACUGUUACUUCAAAUUAUCAAGAUUGUCUAAUACUUGGUAUUUAGUGAUUAACAUACCACUAAAUAUAAUAUCUCAGUUGGUAGUCUCCGUUCCGGGUUUUUUUCGUCCCACCU